CCUACUGCAUCUGCACAUGUGCUUGCUUCUGACCGUAAUAGAAAGAUUUCUACUGCUGAAUGCUGCCAUCUAAUAAACUCACCUAAAUGUCACUAGUGGAUAAGAAAUGACUGUCCAGUUGGCUUAGGUAAUGGAAGACAUUUCAAGCAAGAGAAACACAUGUAAUGAUGCCCUUAAACUCUACCACAGCUAGGAUUCCAGAAGGAAGAGGAGUUCAUGUGACCAUCACUUCCUGCCAGACUCAUCAACUUCAAAGUAUUAAAUGUACAUAUAAGGCUAAGUGUAAUGAGAAUUAAAACUGAACUGAUCUAUGGACAUUUUUGAACUUAUGAAUAGAUCAAAUAGUUCAAUAUGAAUAAUUUUUCAUGAUUCAUAACAUGCUUUAUUUUGUGUUCUGUCUUUACAACCUCAGUAGGUUAAUCACAUAUACAUUUAUGAUCUUAGAAGACCAUUUGAAUUCAAAGUCAUUUUAAUAAUGUUUCUUUCCAACAUGUAUAGUAAUCUGCUGUUUUAGUUGAUUUACAUUGUGGUUGGGCCAAUCGGAAAAGUGUGGAGGAGCACGGUGAGGACUCACAGUUUGCCAUGCGUUUCCAUAGCCCUUAUUUACUUCAAAUUUCAUGUUUUAAUUGUUUUUGUUAGCUGAAUCUUAUGAAUGUCUUGGUUUGUAUAAUCAUGUAAUUUUUGCCUUAACUAGCAUAACUAGCAGAUGUGUUACCCUUGUGAGUAUCUUUUGGUUUACUUCCUGUUAUCCUUUUAACCUCAAUUUUUCUUUUCUACUUGUUUACUGGUAAUGUAUCUUUUUUAAGUUUUUGCUUUCUAAUUAAUGCAGCUGUUCUAUAGCAAAAAUGGCACAGUCUUUUCUGGUCCUUCUUCAAUAUAUACUUAUAUGAUUUUA